CCAAAUCGUUAGGGGUGCUUAUAAAUAGCUGAGAUUAUACCCUAUGAACCUGAGAUGUUUAAUAACAGCGUAGGGAAACGAGGAUUGUAAUAG
rnacentral:ncRNA from 2 species